UACGAGGGGGGCGAGCGUUGUUCGGAAUUAUUGGGCGUAAAGGGUGCGUAGGCGGUUUGGUAAGUCUCGUGUGAAAUCUCCGGGCUCAACUCGGAGCCUGCACGAGAAACUGCCGGGCUUGAGUGUGGGAGAGGUGAGUGGAAUUCCUGGUGUAGCGGUGAAAUGCGUAGAUAUCAGGAGGAACACCUGUGGCGAAAGCGGCUCACUGGACAACUUCUGACGCUGAGGCACGAAAGCUAGGGGAGCAAACAGG
rnacentral:rRNA from 1 species